UUACGGUCAUAUAACGUUAAAACACCGGUUCUCGUACGAUCACUGAAGUUAAGCAACAGUACCUCGGUACUUAGAUGGAUGACAGCUUGGGAAUACCAGGUGCUAUA